rnacentral:rRNA from 1 species
AUUGAAUGCUGGCGGCAGGCCUAACACAUGCAAGUCGAGCGGAGCGGCGGACGGGCGAGUAAUGCCUAGGAAUCUGCCUGGUAGUGGUGGAUAACGUCCGGAAACGGGCGCUAAUAACGCAUACUAUUAGAUGAGCAUAGGUCGGAUUAGCUAGUUGGUGGGGUAAAGGCCUACCAAGGCGACGAUCCGUAACUGGUUUGUGAUGAGGAUCAGUCACACUGGAACUGAGACACGGUCCAGACUCAUAUGGGAGGCAGCAGUGGGGAAUAUUGGACAAUGGGCUAAAGCCUGAUCCAGCCAUGCCGCGUGUGUGAAGAAGGUCUUCAGAUUGUAAAGCACUUUAAGUUGGGAGGCGUUACCAACAGAAUGAGCACCGGCUAACUUCGUACCAGCAGCCGCGGUAAUAC